UGCCAGCCGCCGCGGUAAUACGGAGGGGGUUAGCGUUGUUCGGAAUUACUGGGCGUAAAGCGCGUGUAGGCGGUUCGUUAAGUCUGAUGUGAAAGCCCGGGGCUCAACCCCGGAAGUGCAUUGGAAACUGGCGAACUUGAGUACGGGAGAGGAAAGUGGAAUUCCGAGUGUAGGGGUGAAAUGCGUAAAUAUCAGGAGGAACACCGGUGGCGAAGGCGACCAUCUGGGACGGAACUGACGCUGAUGAACGAAAGCUAGGGUAUCAAACAGGAUUAGAUA
rnacentral:rRNA from 1 species